rnacentral:rRNA from 1 species
UUGUGAGGUUAAGCGACUAAGCGUACACGGUGGAUGCCCUGGCAGUCAGAGGCGAUGAAGGACGUGCUAAUCUGCGAUAAGCGUCGGUGAGGUGAUAUGAACCGUUAUAACCGGCGAUUUCCGAAUGGGGAAACCCAGUGUGUUUCGACACACUAUCAUUAACUGAAUCCAUAGGUUAAUGAGGCGAACCGGGGGAACUGAAACAUCUAAGUACCCCGAGGAAAAGAAAUCAACCGAGAUUCCCCCAGUAGCGGCGAGCGAACGGGGAGGAGCCCAGAGCCUGAAUCAGUGUGUGUGUUAGUGGAAGCGUCUGGAAAGGCGCGCGAUACAGGGUGACAGCCCCGUACACAAAAAUGCACAUAUUGUGAGCUCGAUGAGUAGGGCGGGACACGUGGUAUCCUGUCUGAAUAUGGGGGGACCAUCCUCCAAGGCUAAAUACUCCUGACUGACCGAUAGUGAACCAGUACCGUGAGGGAAAGGCGAAAAGAACCCCGGCGAGGGGAGUGAAAAAGAACCUGAAACCGUGUACGUACAAGCAGUGGGAGCCUCUUUAUGGGGUGACUGCGUACCUUUUGUAUAAUGGGUCAGCGACUUAUAUUCUGUAGCAAGGUUAACCGAAUAGGGGAGCCGAAGGGAAACCGAGUCUUAACUGGGCGUUAAGUU